UACGUAGGGACCGAGCGUUGUCCGGAAUCAUUGGGCGUAAAGAGCGUGUAGGCGGCUUGCUAAGUCUUGCGUGAAAUCUCGGGGCUCAACCCCGAGCGGUCGUGGGAAACUGGCAGGCUAGAGUGCGGGAGAGGAGAAUGGAAUUCCUGGUGUAGCGGUGAAAUGCGCAGAUAUCAGGAGGAACACCUAUUGCGAAGGCAGCUCGCUGGGACGUAACUGACGCUGAGACGCGAAAGCGUGGGGAGCAAACAGG
rnacentral:rRNA from 1 species